UACGAACUGUGCGAACGUUAUUCGGAAUCACUGGGCUUAAAGGGUGCGUAGGCGGUUACCUAAGUCAGGUGUGAAAUCUCUCGGCUCAACCGGGAAACUGCGCUUGAAACUGGGUGACUGGAGUGAGGCAGGGGUGUAUGGAACUUCCGGUGGAGCGGUGAAAUGUGUAGAUAUCGGAAGGAACGCCAGCAGCGAAAGCGGUACACUGGGCCUUUUCUGACGCUGAGGCACGAAAGCUAGGGGAGUGAACGGGAUUAGAUACCCCGGUAAUCCUAGCCGUAAACACUGAGCACUGGAGGAGGGGGGCUUCGGCCCUCUUUCUCGUAGCGAAAGCGUUAAGUGCUCCGCCUGGGGAGUAUGGUCGCAAGGCUGAA
rnacentral:rRNA from 1 species